UACCUCACACUUUGAGCUCCACUGCCGCCCUCUCCUUUCAUCUCCUCUUCGCCACCACGUGGAUGGGGACGGUACCCUCAAUCACCACCACCGUCGACGGCGUGCUCUACAUCCCUCAUCGACCCAUCGAGUCGCCCUCCCCUUGGGUCUGACCGGCUUGGUUCUAGCGGCGGCACAAGCUCCAGCCGUGCAAUGGGAAGUGAAGCAAGGUGGACACAUACAGAUCAAUCAGCAACUCCUUGUCGUGUGGCUACAUCGCCGGCGGUGGUCGGCCGAGUUCAGCUUGCUGACAAGAAAGUGAAAGGGGCGCUUACCUACCUGGCACCGCCGAGCUUUCACCGCCAAUGGAGGUGAUUGUCUGCUCUCGGUUUCAUGGUGCCAAUGGAGGUGGGUGUGAAGUGAGCACACAGUUGUUCAUCGUUGCUGGAUAGGUUCUUCCUGGUCAUCUUCUUUUGUUGAGGCCUGACGUUACAAUCGCG